UACGUAGGGUCCGAGCGUUGUCCGGAAUUACUGGGCGUAAAGCGCGCGCAGGCGGCCCGCGAGGUGUCACGUGAAAGCCCCGGGCUCAACCCGGGAGGGUCGUGGCAAACCGGCGGCUUGAGGCCGGUAGAGGUGGGUGGAACUCCUGGUGGAGUGGUGAAAUGCGUAGAUAUCGGGAGGAACACCAGUGGCGAAGGCGGCUUCCUGGCCUGUUCUUGCGCUGAGG
rnacentral:rRNA from 1 species